GACGAACGCUGGCGGCGUGCCUAACACAUGCAAGUCGAACGGAACUUCUUUAAAGGAUUUCUUCGGAAUGAAUUUGAUUAAGUUUAGUGGCGGACGGGUGAGUAACGCGUGAGUAACCUGCCUCUGAGAGGGGAAUAACAUUCUGAAAAGAAUGCUAAUACCGCAUAAUAUAUAUUUAUCGCAUGGUAGAUAUAUCAAAGAUUUAUCGCUUAGAGAUGGACUCGCGUCCGAUUAGUUAGUUGGUGAGGUAACGGCUCACCAAGACCGCGAUCGGUAGCCGGACUGAGAGGUUGAACGGCCACAUUGGGACUGAGACACGGCCCAGACUCCUACGGGAGGCAGCAGUGGGGGAUAUUGCGCAAUGGGGGAAGCCCGUGACGCAGCAACGCCGCGUGAAGGAUGAAGGUCUUCGGAUUGUAAACUUCUUUUAUUAAGGACGAAGAAAGUGACGGUACUUAAUGAAUAAGCUACCGGCUAACUACGUG
rnacentral:rRNA from 1 species